rnacentral:lncRNA from 1 species
AGGCCCGGAGCCACAGAUUAGUCACCGCUCGGCUCGGAGCUCACGGGUGCGCCGGGGAAACCGGAGGGCAGGCGGCGGCCCAGCUCAGCCGGCUCCCGGGGCCUCGGCGCCGCUGCCCCCACCCCACCCCCACCCCCACCUCGCGUGCGCCUGGCGAGACUCUCCGGGACUCUCACAGCAGAGAUCCACUUGUCAGUUCAAGGGCAGGACUGAAACUGCAAGCUGAGUCUUGCGAACAGGAAAUUUCUCAUUGACAAGUUCAGCAGGUGUCAAUUGAUCCGUCCUGCUCACCAUGGGGACCUGGGCAUUUGUCAUCUUCAUGAAGAGUGCCUUCCUUCCUCCCAGGUAAGCCUUGGAAAUGUGGGGCAAGAAUCUCAAGGCAAAGACCUACUCCUCAUACGAAGCAAACAGACCCUGGAAUGGAGUUGGAAAAACUUCUCUGUGCUCCUAGUGAUACUAAACUUUGGCUCUGCAAUAGAUAAUAUUAUGACCCGCCUCAUCCUUUCCCACACCUGGACAAGUUUCUCGGAUUUUGAGCUUCCGUGGACAUCACUCUUGGGGCUGGCUGGAGAUCUGGCUAAACAGCAGAGCACUUACUGAGCAUGUGUGAGGCCCCUAGGUUCCAUUCCUAGGCCUGCAAGCAAGCAAAAGUUACCACCACCAUAAAAAAAGAGAUGCCAUGGGAAGGGGUUGCCAUGCCCCUUCGACCCAACUCCUCUCCAGAACUUAAAGAGCUUUUGAGAUCUGGGUUGCAGAUUAGCUUUCUUCAGCUCUUAGAACAAUAGCUGGAAUUUACUAAGGGCUUUCUAUCUGCCCAACACAAAAUACACUGAUCUCAUUCCUUAUAGAAAACUGUCAUCACCAUUGCCCAGAUGAGGAGGGAAUGGAUGGAGGCCUAGAGACGAAACAUGACUAUUUCCUCAGAUAUUCACCACCUGAAUCCCCAUAACCAACUGCUACCCAUCACUGCCCCUGCCCUCAUUGUGGGACUUGGGCAAGUAAAUGUCAUCCUUUCUAGGACCUGUGGACAGCUUCAUUCUUUGGCCAAUUCCCUGGGCUCGUCAUAAACAGGCUCUGAUGACAAUGUUCUUCACUGCAUUCUGCCAUGCAAAUGAUGUCCCCUAAGGACAUCAUUGUCCUGUGGUGAAUUUAUCUGCCAGAUCCCUAGGAGAGGGCAUUUUUUUCUCCCUGGGCUUGUAAAGCCAAGGAUGAAGCUGGCAGACACUCCAGAAUGAAGGCUGGGAUGCCUUCGUGGGUUCAGUGCCAGUGGCUACACUGGGACCGUCCCUGGCCUGCUUGCUGGCACAGGGAAUUUGGAGAAGAGAUCAAUCUUGAAGAUAAUUUAGCUUCUGUCUGUUUUGAAGCAGCCAUGGUCCUCUUCUCUAGGUCUGCCAGCGAUGAUUAAUGCUGCAUGCUUUCUCCCUCUCGUCUGCGCCUUCCUUUCUUUGGGGUUUAUUUUCCAACCAUUGCCACAGUUUCUCUUCAGAGCCCAGUAAAUAAAUAUUCAGAGUAGACCGGCA